rnacentral:misc_RNA from 1 species
GAUGAAGAACGCAGCGAAACGCGAUAAGUAGUGUGAAUUGCAGAAUUCAGUGAAUCAUCGAAUCUUUGAACGCACAUUGCGCCCCUUGGUAUCCCGAGGGGCAUGCCUGUUCGAGCGUCAUUUCACCACUCAAGCCUGGCUUGGUGUUGGGCGACGUCCUCUUUGGGGACGCGCCUCGAAACGCUCGGCGGCGUGGCACCGGCUUUAAGCGUAGCAGAAUCUUUCGCUUUGGAAGUCGGGGCCCCGUCUGCCGGAAGACCUGCUCGCAAGGUUGACCUCGGAUCAGGCAGGGAUACCCGCUGAACUUAAGCAUAUCAAUAAGCGGAGGA